GGCGACGUAGCUCAGGGGUAGAGCGAGGGAUUCAUAAACCCUAGGUCGGUGGUUCGAGACCACCCGUCGCCA
rnacentral:tRNA from 1 species